rnacentral:rRNA from 1 species
UAGGGAAUCUUCCGCAAUGGACGAAAGUCUGACGGAGCAACGCCGCGUGAGUGAUGAAGGUUUUCGGAUCGUAAAACUCUGUUGUUAGGGAAGAACAAGUACCGUUCGAAUAGGGCGGUACCGUGACGGUACCUAACCAGAAAGCCACGGCUAACUACGUGCCAGCAGCCGCGGUAAUACGUAGGUGGCGAGCGUUAUCCGGAAUUAUUGGGCGUAAAGCGCGCGCAGGCGGUUUCUUAAGUCUGAUGUGAAAGCCCACGGCUCAACCGUGGAGGGUCAUUGGAAACUGGGAAACUUGAGUGCAGAAGAGAAGAGUGGAAUUCCACGUGUAGCGGUGAAAUGCGUAGAGAUGUGGAGGAACACCAGUGGCGAAGGCGACUCUUUGGUCUGUAACUGACGCUGAGGCGCGAAAGCGUGGGGAGCAAACAG